ACAGAGCAGCCAGGUGGGCCACUGUGGCCAGACCAGCCCUAUUCCCUGUUCUAGGCAGACCAACUGGCCAAAAAGUCAAGGACCCUUCCCCAGCUGCUCUCCAGGAGACUGGAGGCUUGACCUUAACCCAGUACCGUCUGGGUGGGAGUACCUGCUCAGUGAAGCCUUCUCCAGCUGGGUCUCCGGUUGUGGAGACCCAGAGCCAAGUCCCACUAGCUCCAGCCACACCCCACAUCCAUGCCUUCAAAGGGACGUGUGCAUGAAUCAGCUUCCUUCUUGCUGCCUGCCUACCUUCCCCCACUCUUCCUCAGCAAGCUACUGGAAGACCAGGGAGUAAAUCAAGAAAGGAGGGGGCACCCACCCACAAAUCAACACAACCAAAGGAAAGAAUGGAUUCCCAGGAUGAAGUUCGGGAAGCAGAGCUGGGCAGAGAGGUGCUUCCCGGGAGCAACACAAGCAGAGAACCUGUUCCGCUUCAGAGACCCCCACCACCCUGAUGACAUAACAGCAGUAAGCACAAAGAGCAGGGGCCUACUGAUGGUAAGACUCUUCAGAACCAAGGUAUCGGGUUCCCCCACCCAACUGAGGUCUAGCCAGCAUCAGGUAGCAGCACCCCUCGGGGCUAUGCAUUCAUUCAUUUUUGAGAGGGAGACAGUGAGAGAGGG